rnacentral:rRNA from 1 species
UACGUAGGAUGCAAGCGUUGUCCGGAUUUACUGGGCGUAAAGCGCGCGCAGGCGGCACAUUAAGCAAGGUGUGAAAUAUCCCGGCUCAACCGGGAGGGUGCACUUUAGACUGAUGAGCUUGAGGUCGGUAGAGGGGGGUGGAAUUGCUGGUGUAGCGGUGAAAUGCGUAGAGAUCAGCAGGAACACCCGUGGCGAAGGCGGCCCCCUGGGCCGUACCUGACGCUGAGGCGCGAAGGCUAGGGGAGCGAACGGG